rnacentral:tRNA from 1 species
CGGGGAGUAGCGCAGCUUGGUCAGCGCGCCUGCUUUGGGAGCAGGAGGCCGCGGGUUCGAAUCCCGUCUCCCCGACCA